UCCUACGGGAGGCAGCAGUGGGGAAUAUUGCACAAUGGGGGAAACCCUGAUGCAGCGACGCCGCGUGAGUGAAGAAGUAUCUCGGUACGUAAAGCUCUAUCAGCAGGGAAGAAAAAAAGUCUUUGGCUUUGGACGGUACCUGACUAAGAAGCCCCGGCUAACUACGUGCCAGCAGCCGCGGUAAUACGUAGGGGGCAAGCGUUAUCCGGAUUUACUGGGUGUAAAGGGAGCGUAGACGGCAGCGCAAGUCUGGCGUGAAAUGCCGGGGCUCAACCCCGGAACUGCUUUGGAACCUGUGAAGCUAG
rnacentral:rRNA from 1 species